rnacentral:rRNA from 1 species
GAUGAACGCUGGCGGCGUGCCUAAUACAUGCAAGUCGAGCGAACGGACGAGAAGCUUGCUUCUCUGAUGUUAGCGGCGGACGGGUGAGUAACACGUGGAUAACCUACCUAUAAGACUGGGAUAACUUCGGGAAACCGGAGCUAAUACCGGAUGAUAUUUUGAAUCGCAUGGUUCAAAAGUGAAAGACGGUCUUGCUGUCACUUAUAGAUGUAUCCGCGCUGCAUUAGCUAGUUGGUAAGGUAACGGCUUACCAAGGCAACGAUGCAUAGCCGACCUGAGAGGGUGAUCGGCCACACUGGAACUGAGACACGGUCCAGACUCCUACGGGAGGCAGCAGUAGGGAAUCUUCCGCAAUGGGCGAAAGCCUGACGGAGCAACGCCGCGUGAGUGAUGAAGGUCUUCGGAUCGUAAAACUCUGUUAUUAGGGAAGAACAUAUGUGUAAGUAACUGUGCACAUCUUGACGGUACCUAAUCAGAAAGCCACGGCUAACUACGUG